rnacentral:SRP_RNA from 1 species
GUGCUAUAUGGGGAGCUAGCGGUGCCCUGUAACCUGCAAUCCGCUACAGCAGGAUAGAACACCCACCGAGGCUUGUAUUAUGGGAAGCCGACGUCGGUAAGGGACGUUGAUAGCAAGGUCUUGUGCAAUUUCGUGUCGUGAACCGUGUCAGAGCUUGACCGCAGCAGCACUAAGCGAUUCCGGGAUGUGCCACGAGGAAACUUUGAAGUAGUAACCUGCCGCCGUGCCGAUCCGGUAAUAUUUGUCGGAGUGGGCGCA